rnacentral:rRNA from 1 species
AACGAACGCUGGCGGCGCGUUUUAAGCAUGCAAGUCGAGCGGCAAGGGCCUUCGGGCCCCUAGAGCGGCGGACGGGUGAGUAACACGUGGACAAUCUGCCCCCCGGUCGGGGAUAGCCCAUGGAAACAUGGGGUAAUACCGGAUGCGACCGGCCGCGCACAAGCGCGGGCGAGGAAAGGCGCCAAGGCGCCGCCGGGGGAUGAGUCCGCGGUCCGUUAGCUAGUUGGCGGGGUAACGGCCCACCAAGGCGACGAUGGAUAGCCGGCCUGAGAGGGCGAUCGGCCACAUUGGGACUGAGACACGGCCCAGACUCCUACGGGAGGCAGCAGCUAAGAAUCUUCCGCAAUGGACGCAAGUCUGACGGAGCGACGCCGCGUGAACGAUGAAGGCCGUGAGGUUGUAAAGUUCUUUUCCGGGGGGGGAAUAAGGAUGGCAGGGAAUGGCCGUCCGAUGACGUGAACCCGG